AUUGAACGCUGGCGGCAGGCCUAACACAUGCAAGUCGAGCGGAGCGGCGGACGGGUGCGUAAUGCCUAGGACUCUGCCUGGUAGUGGGGGAUAAGGUCCGGAACCGGGCGCUAAUACCGCAUACUAUCGGAUGAGCCUAGGUCGGAUUAGCUAGUGGGUGGGGUAAAGGCCUACCAAGGCGACGAUCCGUAACUGGUCUGAGAGGAUGAUCAGGCACACUGGAACUGAGACACGGUCCAGACUCCUACGGGAGGCAGCAGUGGGGAAUAUUGGACAAUGGGCGAAAGCCUGAUCCAGCCAUGCCGCGUGUGUGAAGAAGGUCUUCGGAUUGUAAAGCACUUUAAGUUGGGAGGCGUUACCAACAGAAGAAGCACCGGCUAACUCCGUGCCAGCAGCCGCGGUAAUAC
rnacentral:rRNA from 1 species